rnacentral:lncRNA from 9 species
UAUAGUAAAGGGUACAGCUCUUGGUUUUGUAGCUCUUCACUCUUGUAACCCACCACCCAGAUCAAAAUAUGGGACAUUUCCAGUCUCCCUGUACUCAUUCUAACUGUAAACUUCUUGAACAAAAGUAUUUAUCCUGGAGUUCCCACUGUGGCACAACUGGAUUGGUGGUGUCUCUGCAAUGCCAGGGCACAGGUUUGAUUCCAGGUCCAGUGCAGUGGGUUAAGGAUCUGGCGUUGCUGCAGCUGCAGUGUAGGUUGCAACUGCGGCUUGGAUCUGAUCCCUGGCCCAGGAACUCCAUACACAGCCAAAAAAGAAAAGAAAAAAAAGAGAUUUUAUCCUGAAUAGCCAAAGGUCACUAACAAGCUUAAUAUGGAUCCAAGUUAUGUUUGAUUUGGCCUGUGCAGUAUUUCUUUUCAUUGCUAACAUGAAAAAUUGAGAUACUUCAUAUAACGAUCAAAAGAUCUGGCAACAUUGGGCUUAUGUACCUUGGCAGCAGUGCCAGGCUACAGUCAGUGGGAACUGUCCCUCUGAGGAUGGGUCCCAUUGCUCCCCGUUGCUUACUCCUAACCAGCUAUGCUUGUUACCUGAUGGCCCUGUGAACAUUUGAGUUUGCAGUCCCUGCCAUUAAUAUUAUUUGAUUUCCUGGUCUGGGGUCUUUAGCAUGCCUGAGGAUACUUCAUAAUUUUUAUUCGUUGGUUCAUCUGCCUUCAUUGAGCAGAGACUGUGAGUCAGGCACAUGCCAGGUGUUAGGAAUACAAAGGCAAUACAUUAUUCUGUUAUUUUGCUAUGUAGCUCACCAGAUGUGUGGCAUGUCCUGUCUUUGCGAGUUCACUUCUCACGGCUCCCUUGGGUGCCGCCUGUGCUGGCUGUUUCCCGGUCCCUGAGCCUACCUUGUUCUUUAUAACCAUCCCACUCUCCUGUCAACAUCCCCCUCUCUUUCUUCCCUCCCUCAAGCAUAUGCUCAAGUCCCACCUUUUCCAAGAAGUCUUCUCUAAUCACCCCUUUCUCUUGUGACACUCCCUCCUCUGAUGUUCUAUCAGUGUAUUUCUUACACCAUCACACACUAGACUCUGUCAUUGGUUCCCUCACAUUAAAGAAGAAAAGUCUGGAGUUCCCAUUGUAGCUCAGUGGGUUAAGAACCCAACUACUAUCCAUGAGGAUGUGGGUUUGAUCCCUGGCCUCACUCAGUGGGUUAAGGAUCCAGCAUUGCCACAAGCUGUGGUACAAGUCACAGAUAUGACUUGAAUGCUGCUUUGCUGUUGCUGUGGCAUAGGCCUGCAGCUCCAGCUUCAAUUCCACUGCUAGCCUGGGAACUUCCAUAUGCCACAGUUGUGGCCUUACAAAGAAAACAAAAGAAAAGCUUUGUUUCGCAAACUAGAGGUGAUGUGCAAUGUGCAAUGACUUUGCCUUAUUAUUGCCGACAUGGCUGCAUAAUGCCCUGCAUAGUUCUGAGCAUAUAGCAGGUGCCCAGCAAAUACAGGUAGUGGGCUGGGAAAGUGGAGCCCCAGAGAAGGGGCUGAAGAUGGCAGCACCCGGGGUGGGGGAGGCAGAGAGGAAAGCACUGAGAAGCACCAUCCUCUUGCCAGGAGCUGUCUUUGCUGGCGGUUGCCCAGUAGCAAUCCAGCCUGUCUGUGAGGACCUGUCGUCCUUGUGAGAGUGUUGACACCCACGCGGGAGAGGGGGGAGUUGGGGGGGGGCAGGCACGCCAGUCUGUCGGGCUGUAGGCAUUUGGGGCAGUGUCAUGUGAGGUGGCCUUUGAGGUUCUCCCCUUUCAGCCUGACAGAAUGUCCCUGUGGGGUGGCAGGAGAAGGUUCACUGAAGACGGCCAGUGCCUGGCAAGGGAAGGUGUCAUUUUGAUGGCCAUUCCCCAAGCCAUGCUCCAUCGAGAGCCCGCGUGCCUCCCUCUGCCCCACUUUUAGCUCCUAACUCGGUGAUACUGCUCACUAAUGGCAACCUAAUUGCAAGUAGCCCCACACCUUGUAAUGUUGCCUCCUUGAAAAGUACCUGACAUGUUGGCAAAAGAUGAUGACCUUUCUUUCGUGGACCUCAGUGCCUAGCCCAGCCGGCCAGACUGCUGCAGUGGAGGUGGGAGAGGUAAGAGAAGCCUUUAAUUUAAGGGUGCUUGGCAAAGGGCCAUCUCAUUUGCUAGGGUUCUGUUAUAUGUCACUUGGUGUGUGGGGUUCCAAGAACUACUUGGCCUCUCUACAGGGAACAUGAUAGAAUGUCAGGACCUAAGCUAAUGUAAAAUAUGCUUUGCUCCGCCAAGUCAUGCACAGGCAAUGCAAGAAGCUCAUCGGUCAUUCACAUGUCUGCACCAUGUGGCCAAGGGCCUCCACGGCUGGGAUCUGGCCUUUCCAGAGCUCUGUGAUGAUGGAGAUCAGGCACACAGUGGCUUUUUCCUCCGAGCCUGCUGAUUUUGAAAGCAUGAGGGUAUCCCU